AGAGUUUGAUCCUGGCUCAGAUUGAACGCUGGCGGCAGGCCUAACACAUGCAAGUCGAGCGGGGGUAGCAAUGCCCUAGCGGCGAACGGGUGAGGAAUGCUAGGGAAUCUGCCUCGUAGUGGGGGAUAACGUUCCGAAAGGAACGCUAAUACCGCAUACGUCCUACGGGAGAAAGGGGGGGAUCUUCGGACCUCUCGCUAUGAGAUGAGCCCAAGCGGGAUUAGCUAGUUGGUGAGGUAAAGGCUCACCAAGGCUACGAUCCCUAGCUGGUCUGAGAGGAUGAUCAGCCACACUGGAACUGAGACACGGUCCAGACUCCUACGGGAGGCAGCAGUGGGGAAUAUUGGACAAUGGGCGAAAGCCUGAUCCAGCCAUGCCGCGUGUGUGAAGAAGGCCUUCGGGUUGUAAAGCACUUUAAGCGAGGAGGAAGGUUCGUUACUUAAUACGUAACGGAAUUGACGUUACUCGCAGAAUAAGCACCGGCUAACUCUGUGCCAGCAGCCGCGGUAAUACAGAGGGUGCAAGCGUUAAUCGGAAUUACUGGGCGUAAAGCGCGCGUAGGCGGUUGUGUAAGUUGGAGGUGAAAUCCCCGGGCUCAACCUGGGCAUUGCCUUCAAAACUGCACGGCUAGAGUAUGGGAGAGGAAGGUAGAAUUCCAGGUGUAGCGGUGAAAUGCGUAGAGAUCUGGAGGAAUACCGAUGGCGAAGGCAGCCUUCUGGCCUAAUACUGACGCUGAGGUGCGAAAGCAUGGGGAGCAAACAGGAUUAGAUACCCUGGUAGUCCAUGCCGUAAACGAUGUCAACUAGGUGUUGGGGAACUUGAUUCCUUAGUGCCGCAGCUAACGCAUUAAGUUGACCGCCUGGGGAGUACGGUCGCAAGACUAAAACUCAAAUGAAUUGACGG
rnacentral:rRNA from 1 species